GUCUACAGCCAUGCUACCCUGAACAAGCCCGAUCUUGUCUGAUCUUGGAAGCUAAGCAGGGUCGGGUCUGGUUAGAACUUAGAUGGGAGACCACCUAAGAAGACCAGGUGCUAUAGGCG
rnacentral:rRNA from 1 species